rnacentral:ncRNA from 1 species
UCGCCAGGGGUGUCCGUGCGUCGCAUCGCACGGGCUGAGAACACGCUGAUCACCAGCCGAAACCCUGGAACCUGAUCCGGAUCAUGCCGGCGGAGGAAGUGCGAC